UAAGUUGUGCAUUUUUCGGUGUACACAAGCAUUUUCAAGUUACUGUGAAACAUAUGAACAUGCACAGGGAACAAUACUACAUAUUUGUGUAAGGAGGGAUAUAUUCUCGUGUGAAUCGUUUACGAGGAAAUUCUGACAGCCACACUUCUGUCGACCAUGUCGACGGAUGUUUAUGUUUCCAUUGAUCAGCCGUUGAUAAGCUACGAGUAAUAAAGUGGAAAAGAUGGACAUUAAAGUGUGUGAUCUAUGUGGAUGUUACUGAAGAAGCUCAAAACGGACUCUUGUUCCGACAUGGCACCACAUUGCUUUUACCUGUUGAUUCUUGUGGGUCAGCUCUUGAGAUUAACCUGUCACCUCUAUCCACAUGCAUAUUCCUUGUGUUCUACAGACUUUUUACCGGUAAUUCAAAUUAAAUCGGAUAAUGCAUGAACAAUAAUGGAACUUUAUGAAAGCAUCAUCCCAUGUUGUGGUUUGUGUUUGAUAAGAAAUUAUGAAAAACAAAAUUAAGGCUAUUUAAAGAAAUUCAUAAUUGUUGUGAAAAUUUGUUUUUCAAUAAAAGUAUGCAAUUAUG